AACAAUUUUACAGCAGAUUAAACACACUUAGUGAAAGAAGCCCAGUGCAAAAGCAAUCUCAACACAAAAUUAGAGUUCAGUUAGCAGCGAGCAGAGAGCCAAAGAGACAGUAACAAGAUGCAGCUUCACGACUGACUGCCAUCACUGGGUUGUUUUCCUGAGGUGGAUGGGAGCUCUGUCCAGUUAAGAGUGUCUGUCUGAGGGGAGUGAUCCAGCUAUACUGAGGGGACACAGGAAAGAAAGCUAAGCCAAAGGAGGAGUUGGGGGAAAAAGAGUAUGUCUGUACAAAUCAUCAGGAUAUUGUGUCAGACAAGGAAGAAAAGUUCUGCCCUUUAGGAGUGAUAUCAGAUGAUAUCCUGCACCCACUUCGAGGGAGCAUUCCCACCAGGCCCCUGCAGUCACGGAGACAACGUGG
rnacentral:lncRNA from 1 species